rnacentral:rRNA from 1 species
GACAGAGGUGCCGAGCGUUAGGCGGAAUCACUGGGCUUAAAGCGUGUGUAGGCGGGUCGUUAAGUGUCUUGUGAAAUCCCACCGCUCAACGGUGGAACCGCUGGGCAUACUGGCGAUCUUGAGCAGUCCAGGGGCGAGCGGAACAAGCGGUGGAAGCGGUGAAAUGCGUAGAUAUCGCUUGGAACGCCGACGGUGAAAACAGCUCGCUGGGGACUCGCUGACGCUGGAGAACACGGAAAG